UACAGAGGGUGCGAGCGUUAAUCGGAAUUACUGGGCGUAAAGGGUGCGUAGGUGGUUUGAUAAGUUAGGUGUGAAAUUCCUGGGCUUAACCUGGGGACUGCGCCUAAUACUGUUAAGCUAGAGAGUUGUAGAGGAAGGUGGAAUUUCCAGUGUAGCGGUGAAAUGCGUAGAUAUUGGAAGGAACAUCAGUGGCGAAGGCGACCUUCUGGACAACUACUGACACUGAGGCACGAAAGCGUGGGGAGCAAACAGG
rnacentral:rRNA from 1 species